UCUCCAUGCCUGGACGACGCGACCAUAGCAAACGCCUUACGAAUGAAUCGGAUACUCGUGAACAGACAGUAAGUGCUUCGAGAGACGCUGUGCGCACACUUCUCGCUGCCGAAAGCCGUCUCGUCCAGGAUGCAUUGAAGCGGACACACACAGCCUGCAGCGAAGAACAACGCGACGGACAUUGCUCUACUCCACUUGGCAUCCUCUUAGACCCCCUCGUGAGCCUUGGCCGACGCCUGGCAAUGCUGGUUGGCUGCACUCGUAUCUGACGAGCCCGGCGACGUCUUGCUGCAGCGGUAGCCUUGAGUGCCAGCAUCAGCGCAGUUCCAUCCGUGCUGUUUGCACACGAGCCAGCUCCUCUCCAAGGCCUUCAGGAUCUCGAGGUCAACAGCCAGAGCUGGAUCAGGCCAAAAAUAAAAAUAAGCUUUAGGAAAAAAAUUAUAAAACAUGGAGAAAAAGAUAUUACACCCUGAAAAGUACAAAAUCAAAACCCUGGAUUCCUGAGCAGCAUUACUUUCUGCAGGUGCUAGGGCCAGUGACACAAGUUCAUGUGAGGUAAUAAAAUGCCUUAAUAUCAACCCAGUCGGACCUUUUCGGUUUCAAAGGAGAGGGCAACCCUAACUUGUCAGCAGUUGAGAUUAACAAGAAAGAUGUUAGAUCAUAUGCACAUUAUGCCAGGAUCUUUUUUGUUUGUGUGUUUGUGUCUGUGUGUGUAGGGGGGGUGCUCGAUGUCAACAUAUACGUUCUUGUAUCAGUUCUUGUAUCACUCCAGUAUGCUCUGACCUGUUCCUGGCAGUAGGCGAUUGUAAAUUAGCCCAGCAAAUGAAGGGCUUUGACAUAUUAGCUUGUUUUAGAUGCGUAGAUGGUUCCUCGAUAUACAAAUCAGGUUUGAAAUGCACCACAUGCGCUGGCAUUAUAACACUAUAGGAAAGAAAGAAAUCCCAAGCUUCUAGUGAAACCACUCGAAACUCAUCAAAU